rnacentral:lncRNA from 1 species
AGUGUGCCCUUUCCCUGCUGACUUUUUAACAGUCUUGGGUAAAUAUUGAUUUGCCCCAGUUUACCUUCUUACUGACUGGCCGUUUGCAGACUAAGAACCCAAUCUCUGUGAAAACUUGAUUUUUGUGUAACUUCCGAGCCCUCUCCGUCCAUCCCCCCAUGCCUUCCUCUCUCUAAGUGGCAUUGUAAAACUCACAGUGACAAAGAGACAAAGUAGGGUUCGAGGCUCCAGUUCCUGGAGACUUGAGGGCAAUUUUACAUACAGGUCAGACACGGCUGGAGGCCAAGGUCAAGUUGAAAGUUGCAGUCUAGUCAGCGUGAGAAAAACAGCAAUGAAAGCCUGGAGACUAGGACAGCUGCGAAGGACCCACCGCCCACCUCUCCUAA